UAGAGCAACUUCAGUUAGUGCAAGAAAAAAAAGAUGGCAUCUCUGAACUAGAAUCUACUUUUGUUUGAAUAAAAUCGCUUUUCCUGUUUUGUUUAAUGCUACUUUAAAUUUAAGAUCUUAAAGGUGGAAGAUUUUUCUUCAAUGUGGGCGAGGAAGGUAAUAGCGGACUUUAUGCCAGUGGCGUUGAAAAUGAGUGCCAUCUAUGGAUCAUGGCCAUGUACAGGACUAUCUCGUAAACCAAUUCCCCUCGUUUAACCUCAAACCAGCAAAAACUUCAAACCAUAUCUAGGUUACAAGGAGGCCGGACGGCAUUGGAACUGCGACUGUUGAAGAGAAAGAUUUUUUUUGCCGAUAUUAAUGAACGUUAAAGAAUACUUCUCGAAAACCAAAUUACUCAUUUUAGGUAAAUAUAUUACUCUUUUCUUUAUAAUUUACUCUAAAUUAGCUUAUUGUUUAAAAUCCACUCUCAAAUUUGUUUUUCAGUUAUCCUCAUAGAGGUUGUCUCUAAUAUACUCGCUUUUUUUUCUCGCUCUAGACUUAGUUAAUAGCAAACUUUUAUCAGUUUUCCCCGAAGCAUAUAAUAUUGUUUACAUUUCAUUCAGUAUAGCUAAUUUUUGAAGCUCUUCUCAUAACUCAACUUUUUUUUUAAAUUUAAAAUAUUGUAUAUAAGAGAGCCAUUCACUGUAUUCAGAAGUUAUUUUAUUCAUCUAUCGUAACUUUUGAUUUAGUAUCUGCUGUGGCGCUACAGAACAAGAAACUUUGUGGAUUUUUCCUUGAAUUGAAUUUCCCUUUUCUUUAGAGUUCAUAUGUACCUUAAAUGUGCUUAAUUGAGUAUAAUUUUGUAUCAUGGAAAUUAAGCACUGUUAAAAGUGCUUAAAAGUUCUUACUUGUUCUUUAAAAGAAAAAACGUAAAUAAAAGCUUAACUUUUAAGUUAUAUUUUGUAUUAUUAUUUUUUUCCCUUUUCAAAAAUUUGAUUCUUUUUUAAUAAGUUGUUAUUAUGUCAUGCAAAUUUCUGUAAUGUAUUUUUGACACGUAUUUUCUAGCUUUAUAAUAUAAAAAAAUAUUUUCUAGUUUUGGAUUUGUUCAAUCCAAGCUGUGCUGCUGACAGGCUAAACGUGGGUGGUAUUCUAGGUUAACCCACGAAAAAAAAUCCGCAUGAAUCAAAAAUCAUAAAUCUGAAGGGGAAAAAAAUUAUGGCUUUUGAGAAUAUCUGUAAUAAUCUGCUUAAAACCAAAUUUUCUAGAGCUAUGAAAUUUUAUUGUUUGCUACUAUCUACGAUAAUUUUUUCUACUUUUUGCGUAAUUUUAGAAGGAAUUAAUAAAAAACCAAAACAAUUUGAUUGAAACGACUGUAUUCUUGUAUGGAAAUACUGUAUUGUUUUUAUGGAAAUUAAAUCAUCAUCAAAAUUAAAUAAAUGCUGAGCAUUUUGUUCUUUCAUAAACAACAAAUCUUUC